AUAUAUUCUUAUUAUAAAAUUACUUUUUUAUAUAAAUUUUGUAGAAGAUUAAAAGAAUAAGAAAAAAAAAUAUACAAGAGAUAUAUAUUCGAAUUCCACACUAAUGACCAUAGAAUUUCUUUCAGUUUCUUUGUGUAUGAACACCUGCCAUAUUCCCCUCCAAUGAUCUCCCUCUUUUCAUUGGUAGUAAUAAUCCUGCCGCCCUUAACCCUCCCCUCCAGUUUUGUUCAUCUUUGUCUAUCUAUCUUUUCCUUCUCGUAUUUCAAUCGUCCUUCCCGAGUAACGAUUGCAUACCAUGAACUAACACAGCUGCAACUUCUUGAUGAAGACACUGAGCAGUUACACAAGCAGCAUUUAAAGCACUUUGUACAGCAGAUAACCAUCCACUAUUAUCAAGUCUUGAAAUCCACUGGGAAGUAGAACAUGUUAUGUCAUUACAAGCCUCUAUUAAUUUAAAAAAACUAUCUGCUAAAUCAUGCGACCGUGGAAUUGCUUUAUGUACUUUCCGCCAUUGCGGAUAAGCAGUAUCCAUUUCUGUACCACCACCCUUAGCUCUGGAACUUUGAGCUUGUGCAAUAGAUCUUGUAUCUAUUAUAUAACUAUUAACAAAUUUUGCAUUAAUAAUAUUGUUUAGAUUGCAAAAA